GUGGGGAAUCUUGCGCAAUGGGCGAAAGCCUGACGCAGCCAUGCCGCGUGGAUGAUGAAGGUCUUAGGAUUGUAAAAUCCUUUCACCGGUGAAGAUAAUGACUGUAGCCGGAGAAGAAGCCCCGGCUAACUUCGUGCCAGCAGCCGCGGUAAUACGAAGGGGGCUAGCGUUGCUCGGAUUUAUUGGGCGUAAAGGGCGCGUAGGCGGACAUUUAAGUCAGGGGUGAAAUCCCGGGGCUCAACCUCGGAACUGCCUUUGAUACUGAGUGUCUUGAGUAUGAGAGAGGUGUGUGGAACUCCGAGUGUAGAGGUGAAAUUCGUAGAUAUUCGGAAGAACACCAGUGGCGAAGGCGACACACUGGCUCAUUACUGACGCUGAGGCGCGAAAGCGUGGGGAGCAAACAGGAUUAGAAACCCCAGUAGUCC
rnacentral:rRNA from 1 species